rnacentral:rRNA from 1 species
UACGUAGGGUGCAAGCGUUAAUCGGAAUUACUGGGUGUAAAGCGUGCGCAGGCGGUUAUGCAAGACAGAUGUGAAAUCCCCGGGCUUAACCUGGGAACCGCAUUUGUGACUGCAUAGCUGGAGUACGGCAGAGGGGGAUGGAAUUCCGCGUGUAGCAGUGAAAUGCGUAGAUAUGCGGAGGAACACCGAUGGCGAAGGCAGUCCCCUGGGCCUGUACUGACGCUCAUGCACGAAAGCGUGGGGAGCAAACAGG